rnacentral:rRNA from 1 species
GACGAACGCUGGCGGCGUGCUUAACACAUGCAAGUCGAACGGAAAGGCCCUGCUUUUGUGGGGUGCUCUAGUGGCGAACGGGUGAGUAACACGUGAGUAACCUGCCCUUGACUUUGGUAUAACUUCAGGAAACUGGGGCUAAUACCGGAUAGGAGCUCCUGCUGCAUGGUGGGGGUUGGAAAGUUUCGGCGGUUGGGGAUGGACUCGCGGCUUAUCAGCUUGUUGGUGGGGUAGUGGCUUACCAAGGCUUUGACGGGUAGCCGGCCUGAGAGGGUGACCGGACACAUUGGGACUGAAAUACGGCCCAGACUCCUACGGGAGGCAGCAGUGGGGAAUAUUGCACAAUGGGCGGAAGCCUGAUGCAGCCAAGCCGCGUGCGGGAUGACGGCAUUCGGGUUGUAAACCGCUUUCGCCUGUGACGAAGCGUGAGUGACGGUAAUGGGUAAAGAAGCACCGGCUAACUACGUG